UACGUAGGGGGCAAGCGUUGUCCGGAAUCAUUGGGCGUAAAGCGCGUGUAGGCGGCUCGGUAAGUCAGCUGUGAAAGUCCAGGGCUCAACCCUGGAAUGCCGGUUGAUACUGUCGAGCUCGAGUCCGGAAGAGGUGAGUGGAAUUCCUGGUGUAGCGGUGAAAUGCGCAGAUAUCAGGAGGAACACCCAUGGCGAAGGCAGCUCUCUGGGACGGUACUGACGCUGAGACGCGAAAGCGUGGGGAGCGAACAGG
rnacentral:rRNA from 1 species